GUGGAUUAGAUACCCGGGUAGUCCUAGCCGUAAACGAUGAGCACUUGGUUGGAGGCUCCUCCAUAGGCUUCCGGCCGUAGCGAAAGUGUUAAGUGCUCCGCCUGGGGAGUAUGGCCGCAAGGCUGAAACUCAAAGGAAUUGACGGGGGCUCACACAAGCGGUGGAGGAUGUGGCUUAAUUCGAGGCUACGCGAAGAACCUUAUCCUAGUCUUGACAUGCAUGGAUUAACCCUAUGAAAGUAGGGCCACGCCUUCGGGUGGAACAUGCACAGGUGCUGCACGGCCGUCGUCAACU
rnacentral:rRNA from 1 species